rnacentral:rRNA from 1 species
UGGGGAAUAUUGGACAAUGGGCGCAAGCCUGAUCCAGCCAUGCCGCGUGAGUGAUGAAGGCCCUAGGGUUGUAAAGCUCUUUCGCCAGGGACGAUAAUGACGGUACCUGGAUAAGAAGCCCCGGCUAACUUCGUGCCAGCAGCCGCGGUAAUAUGAAGGGGGCUAGCGUUGUUCGGAAUCACUGGGCGUAAAGCGCACGUAGGCGGAUCUUUAAGUCAGGGGUGAAAUCCCGAGGCUCAACCUCGGAACUGCCUUUGAUACUGGAGGUCUCGAGUCCGGGAGAGGUGAGUGGAACUGCGAGUGUAGAGGUGAAAUUCGUAGAUAUUCGCAAGAACACCAGUGGCGAAGGCGGCUCACUGGCCCGGUACUGACGCUGAGGUGCGAAAAGCGUGGGGAGCAAAACAGGAUUAGAUACCCUGGUAGUCCACGCCGUAAACUAUGGAUGCUAGCCGUUGGGCAGCUUGCUGUUCAGUGGCGCAGCUAACGCUUUAAGCAUCCCGCCUGGGGGAGUACGGUCGCAAGAUUAAAACUCAAAUGAAUUGACGGGGUCAUAGCUGUUUCCU